AUUGAACGCUGGCGGCAGGCUUAACACAUGCAAGUCGAGCAGAGAGAGGUAGCUUGCUACUGAUCUUAGCGGCGGACGGGUGAGUAAUGCUUAGGAAUCUGCCUAUUAGUGGGGGACAACAUUUCGAAAGGAAUGCUAAUACCGCAUACGUCCUACGGGAGAAAGCAGGGGAUCUUCGGACCUUGCGCUAAUAGAUGAGCCUAAGUCGGAUUAGCUAGUUGGUGGGGUAAAGGCCUACCAAGGCGACGAUCCGUAGCGGGUCUGAGAGGAUGAUCCGCCACACUGGGACUGAGACACGGCCCAGACUCCUACGGGAGGCAGCAGUGGGGAAUAUUGGACAAUGGGCGGAAGCCUGAUCCAGCCAUGCCGCGUGUGUGAAGAAGGCCUUAUGGUUGUAAAGCACUUUAAGCGAGGAGGAGGCUACUUUAGUUAAUACCUAGAGAUAGUGGACGUUACUCGCAGAAUAAGCACCGGCUAACUCUGUGCCAGCAGCCGCCGUAA
rnacentral:rRNA from 1 species